ensembl:lncRNA
GGUCGCAAAGUUCAAGGGGGCCGAAUACUUUCGCAAGGCACUGUACCUUGGCCAUCCAGGAUGGUUACUUACUACUGGUAGAUACCUUGGCCAUCCAGGAUGGUUACUUACUACUGGUAGAUACCUUGGCCAUCCAGGAAUGGUUACUUACUACGAGCAGAUACCUUGGCCAUCUGCUGGAUCCUGUAGAUCUCUGUAGAUUCAACCACUUCACUGCUGGAUCCUAUAGAUCUCUGUAGAUUCAACCACUUCACUGGUGGAUCCUGUAAAUCUCUGCACAUUCUGAUUGUCUCUCUUGUGAUUGGUUAAUCAGCAGAGCAGGACCGACCAACAGGAGCUGGCCACUGGAGGAGAGAAACACCGGGACCCUGAGCACUGAUCAGGCAUGACCAUGGAGACAAACAGGUGAACAAAGAUGCAGGGAAGCUGAAACAUUUUGGUCUUGUUUGAAAACAGCCUUUGACCAUUUCUUUUUCGACUGUAAACUCCAUCUUUUUUAAUGCAUUUUUUUAAUCAAAUGUAUUCUGUAAAUAUAUCUGAUAACUGAUCAAGCUCUAUUCUGAAAUGUUGAUGCAUGAUUAGCCUAAGAAUUAUGAAUUUAAGUCUAAGUCAAAUGUGAAUAAUUAUGCUAAUGUCUUGCUAGUAGGUUUUAUUUUAACAGAACAUUGUAUAUGCUAUAUAGGCCUAGCCCUGUCCAGCCCCAUCUCAGUUCUCUCACAACCAGCCCUCCUGCUGAAAAAUGGUGUUUUAAAUUUUCUGCCCGUUUAAUUGAAUUGUUCUUUAAUCCCAGCCUCCUUUAAAACAGUGCAGUAAUUAGGCUUUUUGUUUUUCAUGAUUGACCCUGGUCACCUUCUACAGUAUCCUAACACAGAGCUGUAAACUAGCCUAUUGUAUUGCUGUAUUAAAGAGGUUUUGUAUCCUGUGUUUAUGGCUUUUAGGCCUGUCCCUUGUAUUUGUUGCACACUAAAGUAUGUCAAACCCACUAUCAUUAGGCAUGCUGAGGCAGUGAAUGUUUGGUCUCUCUAUAGUUUAUCAGAUGAUGUGGCCUACAGUAUUGUACUGUGUACCGUGUAGGCUACUGUGUGUAUGUGUCGAGAUUACGGACUGCCGACGGUUUUUAUUCAUGAACUGAAGCCAAUAUAACAAGCGAUUUUUAAGCGGUGAGCACGGGCAGCAGCACUGCGCGCCGAACGGAGCAGCUCGAGCCCCUUUCCUGAACAGCAGCCACGGCCUUGUCACGAGCUGUCGACGCGCUGCGCUCGGGACUAAUCUGACAGCACCGCGCAGACCCUAAUCCGCCACUGUAUUCUAAUCUAUUUACUCUGCAUUCUAAGAGGAUUUGCUUCUCAAAAAUAUAUACAACAACGAAUCCGAGGCUGGAAAGUAUGGUGAAAUGGACAGAACAGAUCAGUCAGUCAGGAUGGGUUCUGUGUUUUCUUUAUUUGUGUUGUUUUGUUAGGUUUCCAAAAAUAAUAAUAAUCAUUGUAUGUUUUUUCAAUCGUCAAUCGUUUUGGGAGAGAGAUUGGUGAAAAUAAUUACGUUUCUGUCUGGUGAUACAAGGCUAAUACUUGUCUUACGUAAACAGACAUGGUUCUGUUUUGUUCAGUGAUACUCAAGAGAGCAGCUGUUUGGAUAAGUGAUAUGUCAUUGGUUUUAUCUCCUGAUAUAUGUCACUUUCAAACAACUACUGCAGCCUAAUAUCACAUCAUUCAAUGACUUGACAUCUGAAAAUAAAACCUACAAAACCUGUUAUAAAAGUCAUUGGGUUACAGUUGAUAUCUGUUUUUUAGAUGUCUGCUGUGGGCCUGUAGGUGUCGGCUAGGACUACAAAUACCUCAAUCAUCUCAGAUAACACCUAGUCCUGGGCUAAUACCCAUUGUAGAGAAUCUCCAA